AGUGAACGCUGGCGGUAGGCCUAACACAUGCAAGUCGAACGGCAGCACAGGAGAGCUUGCUCUCUGGGUGGCGAGUGGCGGACGGGUGAGGAAUACAUCGGAAUCUACUCUGUCGUGGGGGAUAACGUAGGGAAACUUACGCUAAUACCGCAUACGGACUACGGGUGAAAGCAGGGGACCUUCGGGCCUUGCGCGAUUGAAUGAGCCGAUAUCGGAUUAGCUAGUUGGCGGGGUAAAGGCCCACCAAGGCGACGAUCCGUAGCUGGUCUGAGAGGAUGAUCAGCCACACUGGAACUGAGACACGGUCCAGACUCCUACGGGAGGCAGCAGUGGGGAAUAUUGGACAAUGGGCGCAAGCCUGAUCCAGCCAUACCGCGUGGGUGAAGAAGGCCUUCGGGUUGUAAAGCCCUUUUGUUGGGAAAGAAAUCCAGCUGGCUAAUACCCGGUUGGGAUGACGGUACCCAAAGAAUAAGCACCGGCUAACUUCGUGCCAGCCGCCGCAGUAA
rnacentral:rRNA from 1 species